CAUAGCUUCAAUAUAACCGAGUGUAUUUGCAAGCAUGGGUAAGUUAAUGGAAAUCCUUCUAAAGAAAUAGAGUUUCUACUUGAAUUUUAUGGUUUAAAGAGCGAAGAUAUCUCACUUCCGUUAACGAAAACCACUUUCACCUUUUAACGCCUUGUAAGCUACCUUGCAUGAAGAUUUGUAUGCUUAGCUUUUGUCUUUGUUUGAUUCCCGUGUAUAAGACUACAUUUGUUGACGUGAAUAACUGUGUUCCCUGGUGUACGGAAGUCAUUGUUGUCUGCCCAUGAGGCUUCUGUUUAGCUUUCAACUAAGAUUAAGUGACCAAGGACUUUUUUUUGGUCACUAUUAGGUGUUCAUCGUUGUUGUUGCGCACGAAUCUCCCAAUUAUAGUUGCGGUAUGUCCGUGGUUCUUUGUAUUAUAAAUACUUUGUGUUGAAGUAUGGAGGUUAAAUCAUUUUGGGCGGCUUGUAAUCUGUCUCGUUGUCUGCGAUUUUGGCUUCUUUGAGUGUUAAAUAAGUAAUGCUAUACCUGGUUUUCUUCUCUCUUUAUGUCCAGUUGGCAAGGCGAUUACUGUGUUUAGGUUCUUUCGCUGGAACAAUCUGUUUCUUCGUGUUUAUCUUAAAGGUUGCUUUUUUGUCGGUUCUCCUGCGGUGUUUCUCUGAAAAGUCUUUUUUUAGUUUGCGUUUCUUCAAUAAUAGAUUGGACAGUUGAAAACUGGAAUCGGGGUCUUGUUACGUGGCGUGGUAUGCUUCUCUGGCUAAGCAUGUGUUGUGGCGUCUUUAUUACGUUAGGAACUGUUUGUCGUUCACAUAGUGAAGAUACGCCGCGGUAUCGAGGAUUAGUUCAAUGUGUUCGUUUCUGAAGUGGUUUUCCUCAGAGAGUUGCGUGUUGUACUUAAGAUCAAGGAUUUUCACUCUUCUCGUAUCCCUGUAAAUUGUGCUGAACUACGAACAGCACAGACGGGACUAAGUAAACCUUAACGGGCUAACUAUCUUGUCUCCAGAGAAUAAAAAAUGCUAAGACCUUCAUACAUUGAUAUGUUAAAAAAUAUUUGACCUGUUGAAUCAAAUCUACUUAGUAGAGGACAUAGACCUUGCUUUUGACUUAAAAGUUUGAAGACACUCACAAGGGUUUUUUUCAAGGAAGCGUUUACCUGCCCCUCAAUCUUGUUACUCUACUUUCUACAUUAAAUAUUGUCCAGAAUCAAAA